UACGGAGGGAGCUAGCGUUGUUCGGAAUCACUGGGCGUAAAGCGCACGUAGGCGGGUUGUUAAGUCGGGGGUGAAAUCCUGGAGCUCAACUCCAGAACUGCCUUCGAUACUGGCGACCUUGAGUCCGGGAGAGGUGAGUGGAACUCCGAGUGUAGAGGUGAAAUUCGUAGAUAUUCGGAAGAACACCAGUGGCGAAGGCGGCUCACUGGCCCGGUACUGACGCUGAGGUGCGAAAGCGUGGGGAGCAAACAGG
rnacentral:rRNA from 1 species